GGCCUGAUGGUCUAGGGGUAUGAUUCUCGCUUAGGGUGCGAGAGGUCCCGGGUUCAACUCCCGGUUAGGCCC
rnacentral:tRNA from 1 species